rnacentral:rRNA from 1 species
GAUGAACGCUGGCGGCGUGCCUAAUACAUGCAAGUCGAGCGAACAGAUGAGGAGCUUGCGCCUCGGACGUUAGCGGCGGACGGGUGAGUAACACGUGGAUAACCUACCUAUAAGACGGGGAAAACUACGGGAAAGCGGAGCAAAUACCGGAGAAUAUAUUGAACCGCAGGGUUGAAUAGAGAAAGACGGUGUUGGUGGCAGGUAUAGAUGGAUCCGGGCUGCAUUAGCGGGUUGGUGAGGUAACGGCUUACGAAGGGGACGAUGCGUAGGCGACCUGAGAGGCUGAUAGCCCACCCUGGAGCUGCGACACGGUCCAGACUCCUACGGGACGCAGCAGUCGGCAAUCUUCCGCAAUGGGCGAAAGCUUUGCGGAGCAACGCCGCGCGAGUGAUGGAGGUCUUCGGAUCGUAAUACUCUGUUAUUAGGGAAGAACCAAUGUGUCAGUAACUAUGCACGUCUUGACGGUACCUAGUCAGAAAGCCCCGGCUAACUACGUG